ensembl:lncRNA
GGGGACGUCCUACGGUUUGGAGUGUGCUUGGAGAGAGAGGGAGAAGAAACCCUGCCUAGCAGGGCACUUUAUAGCGUCGCCUCAGUUCUUGCACAACGCGACCAUUGCAAGUGAGCGAGCGGAUUUUAGUCUAUAAUUAUACGGGCUGGAAACGGAUUUUCAUACGUCGUCAUGCUGUACAGCUUUUACAUCUACGGUCGAUGACACCUGCGUUUUUGUCUUGAAGUUUCGCCGAUCGCGAACAGUUGGGACUGCAUUCCUUCGCUCUGGAGUCCAGACCUGCAGCGUUUUUCAGAGUUAGUGAGAGAGCUAGAGAGAGAGGGGGUCCCCGUUCCUACCUGCUGUCUUUUACGUGUAACUUCUGAACUAUUCUCCAGCCCAGUCAAACAUUCUUCUGGCUGGCUCUGCCCAGUGUUGUCGUUUAUCGGAAACAUCGGAUAAUCACUAAUGAUAUCUGAGAAUCGAUUAGUUUUGAACUAGAAAGAUUCUGCAUUUAAGUUCUGCCCCAUUGGAUUGAAUGCCUUGUAUGCGGUGACUAUGGCUUUACAAUGGAUCCUCGUAGCCGCUUUGGCUGGAAUUCUUCUCACCGCCACUUCAGAAAUACAUGGGCAACUGCUGGACAUUCAUUCACUGAAGGACAUGAGAAAACCCUGUGGGUAGAAC